CGCGUAGGCGGAUUUUUAAGUUGGGGGUGAAAUGCCGAGGCUCAACCUCGGAACUGCCUUCAAAACUGGGAGUCUUGAGGUAUGGAGAGGGAAGUGGAAUUCCAGGUGUAGCGGUGAAAUGCGUAGAUAUCUGGAGGAACACCCGUGGCGAAGGCGGCUUCCUGGCCAUAUCCUGACGCUGAGGUGCGAAAGCUAGGGGAGCGAACG
rnacentral:rRNA from 1 species